UACGAAGGGGGCUAGCGUUGCUCGGAAUUACUGGGCGUAAAGCGCACGUAGGCGGCUUUCUAAGUCGGUGGUGAAAUCCUGGAGCUCAACUCCAGAACUGCCUUCGAUACUGAGAGUCUCGAGUCCGGGAGAGGUGAGUGGAACUGCGAGUGUAGAGGUGAAAUUCGUAGAUAUUCGCAAGAACACCAGUGGCGAAGGCGGCUCACUGGCCCGGUACUGACGCUGAGGUGCGAAAGCGUGGGGAGCAAACAGG
rnacentral:rRNA from 1 species